rnacentral:misc_RNA from 1 species
GAAAUGCGAUAAGUAAUGUGAAUUGCAGAAUUCAGUGAAUCAUCGAAUCUUUGAACGCACAUUGCGCCCGCUAGUAUUCUAGCGGGCAUGCCUGUUCGAGCGUCAUUUCAACCCUCAAGCUCUGCUUGGUGUUGGGGUCCUACGGCUGCCGUAGGCCCUGAAAGAAAGUGGCGGGCUCGCUACAACUCCGAGCGUAGUAGAAAUACACCUCGCUAGGGAAGAGUAGUGUGCUCCAGCCGGUAAAGCCCCAAACUUUAACCCAGGUUGACCUCGGAUCAGGUAGGAAUACCCGCUGAACUUAA